UACGUAGGUGGCGAGCGUUGUUCGGAAUGACUGGGCGUAAAGGGCGCGUAGGCGGCUUUUUAAGUGAGGCGUGAAAGCCCUGGGCUUAACCCAGGAGGUGCGUUUCAUACUGAAAAGCUUGAGUACGAGAGAGGAAAGUGGAAUUCCAAGUGUAGAGGUGAAAUUCGUAGAUAUUAGGAAGAACACCAGUGGCGAAGGCGGCUUUCUGGCCCGUAACUGACGCUGAGGCGCGAAAGCGUGGGGAGCAAACAGG
rnacentral:rRNA from 1 species